UUCCUGCCACACCAUUGUUUUGUCACUUUUAUCAACUUCCUUCUUUGGGAAUGAUCAGAACACUGAUUUCCAAGGUUGACAUGAACCAAGAGCUGGGUCAUAUGAGAGUUAAUUUUUUUUCUGUUGAAAGAUGAUAAGAAGGAGAGUUUGGGGAGUAAUUCAUUAACCCAUCCUCAGUAUCCAGUCAGAAUUCCCACAUGGUUGGAGGUGAUAUUUGAAUUUCAUGGAAUUCUUAACUGCUUUAGUGAACUGUUGAUUUUGUCACAUAUAUGAGAUCCCAUAUCUGACAAUGAGCAGAACAAUGCACUCCAGAGGUUAACGUGGAUCAAGAACUGUCUUUCAUGUAAAAGAAUUUAUUCCUUACCCUGGAGAUGUGACAUGAAGGAAAGUGUUGUGUAUUAUUCUGUUUCCCAUUCUCAGUGGCCAGAGGGAAUUCUUAUACAAACUCCCUUAAUUUCCUCUGUGCUUUGCAAAAUGGAAAUGAAUUUGGAAUUUCAUGGGAUUCUAACCAUCAUCACAAAGAAGUGCUGAUUUUGUCAUUCUUACCCAUUUCAUCUCAGGGACAGAACAGUACAAUGCACUCCAAAGAUUGGCAUGGACCAAAAACUGGGUUUGAGAUUUGAUGCCAUCUUCUUGAGAUGUGACAUGAAGGAAAGUAUUGAGAGUAAUUCUGUCAUCUCAUCCUCAAGAGUCAGUGGGAAUUCUCACAUGGUUCAAAGUGAUAUUGGAAUUGCAUGGAUUUCUUACUGCCACACCAUUGAAGGGCUGAUUUUGUCACUUCUUCCAGCUUCCUUAUCUGAGAAGGAAGACAACAAUAUACUCUUGAGGUUCAUGUGGAUCAAAAACAUAUGAAAGAAUUUAUACAUUUCCCUUGUGAAAUGACAUGAAGGAAAGUAUCAUGAAUAAUUCUACCUUCCUUGGGGACCAGUGGGGAUUUUCGCACUUAUAGCAUAAAGGCAUUGGGCGUCAAAAGUGUUUGAAGAGUUCCUUCCUUUUCAGGAACGAAGAUAUUGGACCAAAAUGAGGAACCGUUGUGCAUUGUGGCUCGGUUAUAGGAUGGCUUAUGGUAAUGAUAGUGCAUAGAAGAGAAGGAACACUGCCAUGCCCUUGCCUUACCUCUUGAAUGUCAGCUCCAGAGAAUGAGCAACAACUUUCCUCCCAGUCAUUGGCUCUCCGCUCCUACUUAUGGUCUCUUGGAUGCCCUUGCAGUAAAUCCCUGAAACAAGACUCCUCAGACAACAAGCCUCUUCACCUACCUAUUGUCUAAAAGCCAGCCUCUGAAGGUGAUGACCACAAAUAUGAGGUGGAUUUGUUACAGUUGGUGCCAUUACUUCUAUCAGCAGCUUCACCAAAACAAUGAUACAGUCUUCCUUAUGCAUGGAGACUCCUCUCUUUCCUGUGUUGCAGUGGAUACCUCCUGCAGAUAAGAAAUGAUUAACUGAGAAAUGCUCAUGUUGGGAUAUCAUCGAUGAGACUUUAAUUUGGGCAUGGUGACUGUUUCCCUUGCUGCCACUUGACUCAAUCCCAGGAACCUCAGUUGAGGAAAUUAUUACACAAGAAGCUCAAAAUGGUGGAAUUGCUCAGUGCUCCCAUAAAUAUACAUUUAUAAUUUUCAUUUGCCAUAUGGUAAAUUGAAAAAAAAAGGAUAUAUUAAAAAGAAACUGCAUUAUUUUUUUUCAAAAAUUCAAGGCAUAUUUAAAUAACUAAUAUAUAAAUUAAGUGCCCUCUCUCUUCCAAUUCUAUUCCCAUAGUUUUCUUCUAUAAGGGAGUUGUGUGCAUUCUCUUAGUGGAUAUAUGCACACAAACACACACAUUAAGUUAUUUUUUUGAAGGGGUUUGGAAGUGGGGUCAUAUUGUAACAUGUUCUUCUGCAAAAUGCCUCAUUCAUUUAACAAUAUUUUCAAAGGCCUUCUUCUAUUUCAGUAAUACAUACACAUCUGUGUCAUUUGUUGAAUGACUGCAUGACUGUUUUGUAGAUGAAAUAUAAUUCAAUGUUUUAAGCAUUUCUCAUUCAUAGAUAUUUAUGUUAGUACCAAAUUUCUGUGCAAUGAACCUCCUUAUAUUUCAAUAACUUUGCAUUUGUCUAUUAUAUCAUAAUAAAUUACUUAGCAGUUGAA